rnacentral:rRNA from 1 species
GACGAACGCUGGCGGCGUGCCUAAUACAUGCAAGUUGAGCGCUGAAGGUUGGUACUUGUACCAACUGGAUGAGCAGCGAACGGGUGAGUAACGCGUGGGGAAUCUGCCUUUGAGCGGGGGACAACAUUUGGAAACGAAUGCUAAUACCGCAUAAAAACUUUAAACACAAGUUUUAAGUUUGAAAGAUGCAAUUGCAUCACUCAAAGAUGAUCCCGCGUUGUAUUAGCUAGUUGGUGAGGUAAAGGCUCACCAAGGCGAUGAUACAUAGCCGACCUGAGAGGGUGAUCGGCCACAAUGGGACUGAGACACCGCCCAAACUCCUACGGGAGGCAGCAGUAGGAAAUCUUCGGCAAUGGACGAAAGUCUGACCGAGCAACGCCGCGUGAGUGAAGGAGGUUUUCGGAUCGUAAAACUCUGUUGGUAGAGAAGAACGUUGGUGAGAGUGGAAAGCUCAUCAAGUGACGGUAACUACCCAGAAAGGGACGGCUAACUACGUG